CCUACGGGGGGCAGCAGUAAGGGAUAUUGGUCAAUGGGGGAAACCCUGAACCAGCAACGCCGCGUGAGGGAAGACGGUUUUCGGAUUGUAAACCUCUGUCCUCUGUGAAGAUGAUGACGGUAGCAGAGGAGGAAGCUCCGGCUCACUACGUGCAAGCAGCCGCGGUAAUACGUGGGGGGCAAGCGUUAUCCGGAUUUACUGGGUGUAAAGGGGGUGUAGGCGGCAAGGCAAGUCUGGAGUGAAAGCCCGUGGCCCAACCUCGGGACUGCUUUGGAAACUGUGUUGCUGGAGUGCAGGAGGGGUAAGCGGAAUUCCUAGUGUAGCGGUGAAAUGCGUAGAUAUUAGGAGGAACACCGGUGGCGAAGGCGGCUUACUGGACUGUAACUGACGUUGAGGCUCGAAGGCGUGGGGAGCAAACAGGAUUAGAUACCCCAGUAGUC
rnacentral:rRNA from 1 species